UACGUAGGGUGCGAGCGUUAAUCGGAAUUACUGGGCGUAAAGCGUGCGCAGGCGGUUGUGCAAGACAGGUGUGAAAUCCCCGGGCUUAACCUGGGAACUGCACUUGUGACUGCAUAGCUGGAGUGCGGCAGAGGGGGAUGGAAUUCCGCGUGUAGCAGUGAAAUGCGUAGAUAUGCGGAGGAACACCGAUGGCGAAGGCAAUCCCCUGGGCCUGCACUGACGCUCAUGCACGAAAGCGUGGGGAGCAAACAGG
rnacentral:rRNA from 1 species